rnacentral:rRNA from 1 species
GAUGAACGCUGGCGGCGUGCUUAACACAUGCAAGUCGAACGGAAAGGCCCUGCUUUUGUGGGGUGCUCGAGUGGCGAACGGGUGAGUAACACGUGAGUAACCUGCCCUUGACUUUGGGAUAACUUCAGGAAACUGGGGCUAAUACCGGAUAGGAGCUCCUGCUGCAUGGUGGGGGUUGGAAAGUUUCGGCGGUUGGGGAUGGACUCGCGGCUUAUCAGCUUGUUGGUGGGGUAGUGGCUUACCAAGGCUUUGACGGGUAGCCGGCCUGAGAGGGUGACCGGCCACAUUGGGACUGAGAUACGGCGCAGACUCCUACGGGAGGCAGCAGUGGGGAAUAUUGCACAAUGGGCGGAAGCCUGAUGAAGCAACGCCGCGUGCGGGAUGACGGCCUUCGGGGUGUAAACCGCUUUCGCCUGUGACGCAGCGUGAGUGACGGUAAUGGGUAAAGAAGCACCGGCUAACUACGUG